GUAACAGAGGUACAGCUGGAGGAGGCUCCACGGAAAGACUGUGGAAAUGUGGAAAGCAGGGAAAUGAAGAGGGACACGUCACUCGUUGCAAGCUGAAAUGCAGAGGGGGUGGUAAGGGGAAGAAAGGAGCAGGGAGGCAGAGAUUUGGAAGCUUCAUCACAGAAGAACUGGCCUCAAGAGCAAAGGAAAGAGUUUCCAUCCAAGGAUGUGAGAGAGUUGUCCCUGCUUGUCCAUCUGUGCUCUACCCUGAUAGUACUUUCCAGUGCAGCUCUGCAAAAGAGCAGAAGACAUUUGAAUCGGCUGGGGAUCUGGUUCCUGUUACAGAUGACCCCACACACUUUUUCAGCCAGGAACUUUGUUAGUGAAUAUCCAUUUGCUGUCUACAAUUCCACCUAGGAGAGGCAAGAUUGCUCAUUUUCUGUGUGCUUGAGAGACGGGAAAGUCAAGAUCCUACAAUGGCCAUCAUGUUGACUCCUCCUCUUUUCCUCCUCUUCAUCCUUUUGCCCUGCAGUAAAUCUCAGGACUUUCUGGACCAGCAUCAGAAAUGGAACUACAGAGAAGGCGCUGACAAGGUCAACAUAGAAGGUGUUUACAGCAUUACUCAAACCCUCGAGAAAUGGGGAAAUGACAUCUUCUGGCAAAUGAAGCAUACCCUGCUGAACAACCCAAAUGCUCUCCUGCCUGAGUUCUCCAGUCUCCGACCUGUCUCUGCAGCUGUGGACAACCUUGUGAGGGAAGUCCAGUCGAUAAGGAAAAGGCUGGAAGAACUGAACGAACGUCUCAAUGUCAUCAGCAAAACUGUCCUUCCCCUUCGACUGAAUGCUCUGCAGAGCCAGAGGCGUGGAAAUACUCAGCUGAGGAGACUCCCAACACACAGGAGAAGGUUAUAUGCUCGCAGGAGACCUCAGAGCAGACCUCAGAGCACUUAAUUCUCUACCAGAAAAAAGGGGAAAUCCUCUUUUUCUUUUUCAUCUGCUUAAGCCUUUCUCAAUGGGACAUUGCUGGAGAGAAAGAAAGUAAAGCACACAACAAGUCAGCUUUGCUAAGGAGACCAGAACUUCUGCAUUUUGUUGCUGCCUUAGGUCAGUAGGCAAAACCUGACCCUGUUCUUUAAUGAUGGCUGUUUUGUGUCCCAAGCAAAAAAAAGUUGACAAGCUCAGUCUUCUUGAGCAUGAAUACCUUCAUUCUAUACAGGCAUUCUUUCUGCUUACCAGAGGAAGCUCUUUCUAUAAAGAUCAGGUGAAUUUCUCUCUCUGUCCUAUUUUUAAAGCACUCCAUCUGAAACAGCUGGGGAAUUUGAACUUUGAAAGUGCUGAACAACUGAUGAAUGCAGAAAGAUGGAUUAGUGUUUGGCACUUCCAGCUGGGCAGGGAGAGGGAGAGGAAGUUAUGUUUCAAAAUAUUGCCUUAACCUACUGUCCAUGUUCAUAUGUUCAGAGGGUGAGUAGGGCUGGAUAACCUUGGUCUGUACACCAUGAUUCAACACUGAAGAUAUAUCAAUUGCUAGGGACCAAAUAUGAACAUCCACCUUCUGCAAAGAGUCUUUUUCUAGCUAUGUGGAACUGUGCACUCACAAUGGUGUUACUCAGUAGAUUUGUUCAGAAUUUCCAGUGCUCUGAAACACACUGAGCUGAUUUUUGCCAGGACCCAUGGAAAACAGGGGAUUUUUAAAUUGUUUUUCAAAACUAUUUAGAUACCUUUAUGGCAAAGAUAGGUGUCUGGAAGGAUUUUCCAAAAUAGCUUAAGAGACUCUUCAGUCCCCAAAAUCACAGAUAAUAAUUCAAUUGGUGUCUAGUUCACAGAGUAUUUUCUCUGCAUGCCAGCAUUGACCUCCAGACACUUCCCACUAUCCUUUAGCACAAUUAAUAUCUGUAGAAAAUUAACAACGACACUCUACAAAGACUUUGGUCCCUCAGGGAUUACCCAGAAUACCCUGCCUUCAGCUUGUCUUUGCCUGUGACAAUAAAGCUGGUGAUAAAAAAAGAGUGCAUGAAUCAAAUUAUGCACUGAAUGGAGGAUAGACUGGCCUUGCCCUUCAGGUCUCUAGAGAUAAAUCCAGUACAGAGAUUUCCAUUCAGCACUGCAGUCAACUGUGUACAUGAAAUGUGUUGAAACAUAAGAAAGAGACUCAGAGAGGAAAAGAAACAGGUUGUCUUUAAGGUCUGGAUGAAGAAAUUUAUGAGAACACAAAUAAAGAAUGGAUUAUGUCUAAAUGAUUGUGGGGGUGUCUGGCAUGUCAGUUGUUUUGAAAACACUCUCCAGUCACAGUGAGGAUGCUGACUAGCUAUUUAAGGAUUCCCAAAGCCUGAGUUUAUGGAAAGAAAUUCAGUGACAGUACAAUAACCUCCAAAAGGAAAAGGGUAAAAUCUAGUUUCGUAUGAAAUCUUUCAGAAUGGACUAGAAGAAUUAACACAGUAAGAAUUUUAGCUGCAGCCUGAGAGUUAAUUGAGUGGGGGAGGUAAAUAAUUCCUGGAUGUAAGUUCUCUGAGCUCAGGUUUUCAGAAAAUAACAAAACUCAGACUUGGCCUUCUUUGGUUUUUGCUUGGGAACUUGAAACGCUGCUUAGCUAGAGAAGGGAAAAAUCAAGACUGUGAAAAGGCUGAUAAAAAGAUACAGUUGUGCCUUUGUUGAAGUUGUCAUCAUAAUUUCUCAGGAAAUGUAGAGCAUUUUGAUCACAGAAUAUAUUUACAUAAAUUGCAAGGAAUAAUAGGAGAGAAAGACCCCCAACUUCUUGUUAUUCUGCAUUCAGAGUUUCUAGGCUGUGCUGUAGCAACAGCUGCAUCCUUGCACAGACUGCUGAUCCCUCCAAGGGAUGCUUUGCUUGGGGCUGUAGGGACUGCUUUUUAUUUUGGCCUGUCUGGAGGAAGAGUACAACAUAAAUGUUAGAUUUCAUGGUCUUAUUUUAGACACAAGCAUUUUAUCAGGCAACUCAAGCUGUAUAAAUUGAGGACUACUUGAAACACAAAGAUAAGACUUCCCUAAGUCCCUCAAGUUACUGAUGGCUGGUGGUGGGAGGCCAGACCAGAUCAUUGCAUACUUUUACUUUACACCUAAAUGUCCACCACCAGCUUCUGCCAGAAACAGAGAACAGAGCAAGAUGAACCCCCAGUCUAACCCAGUCCACGUAUUCCUAUGCUGAUAUGUGAAAGUUUGUAGUCUUGGCAAAACCUCCUCAGCACAAUGGAGAAAGCCACCAUCUAUUUUAAAAGAGAACAAAUAAGCUGCAGCAUGCAAUGUGUAUUACAAUUCUCCAAUUUCUUGCAGAAUGGUGAAUAAACCAAAUAAUAUAAAUGGUUAAUAAAUUACUAAUCUGUGACCUUGUCA